ACGUAGGGUGCGAGCGUUGUCCGGAAUUACUGGGCGUAAAGAGCUCGUAGGCGGUUUGUCACGUCGUCUGUGAAAUCCUAGGGCUUAACCCUGGACGUGCAGGCGAUACGGGCUGACUUGAGUACUACAGGGGAGACUGGAAUUUCUGGUGUGGCGGUGGAUGGGGUAUAAAUCAGGUGGAGCACCGGUGGCAAAGGCAGCUCUCUGGUUUGUCUCUGACGCUGAGGCGCGAAAGCGUCGCUAGCAAACAG
rnacentral:rRNA from 1 species